UGAUGAAGGAGGUGCGGAGAUCUUGGAGCAUCAUGACGUGAUUGGCGCUGCUGCAGGUUUGUGACGGAAUUGCGUUGACGAGCAGGAAAAGGCGGAGGAGGUUUUGAUAAAGAAAUCACAGUGUAAUUGGCCUCAAGCUGGGGGGAGCGAUGUGGAAGAGGAAAGGAGUCGUUGUGGGGACGAGUCAGUGACUGGAGGAACUAAUUACUUCUCCGGCAAGUGACAGUUUUUCAGGUGGGAACUUAGCUUUAGGUACGAGGGCAAUUUCUCCCGAGACCACAGAAGGAAAUUAACUUUAAUAUAUUUAUAGUUUUUAACAUACUCUACCGGGCGUUUGGGAUCAUUUAUCAGCAAUGAAACCAACUGUGUUUUGACAGCAAUAUUUUAACUAUAUUCCACAUGUUUUAAGAUUAAUUAAUGUGUUAUAAAACAGUUUUAAUCCUGGUUUGAUAUUAUUAUAAUGCUGAGUUAAGGGUCGUGUGUUUUUCAAAUGGCUCGCUAACCUUUAGCAAUCUAAUGACAUAAUCGUUACAUAUAUAUUUCCACAUAUAUAUUCAUUGAGGAGGUAUGUUAUGCUAAAAAAAAAACCCAAAACAAAAAAAAAAACUUGCAACAAAAACUCCCAGAAAAACAUAAAAGUUAUCAUUUAAUAUUUGGACUGGUGUCUUGUUUUAUAAGAAAGAAUAGUAAUGUAUUAAUUUGAUAAUCUUUGCUACAUAAAAACCCAAUUUAAGUCUGUUUGUGUUUGGAUGUGUGUGCUUCUGUAUACAUGCUAAUGCACAGGAAGUUGGUUCUGCUACUUGAAAAAGCCAAAUUUUAUCCACAAAAUGAAUUAUGAAACAUUCCCCACCAACCGUUGCAGGUUCUGCCUUCUAUUACAUAUAUUAACAACAGUGAGCUUGGUGCUUUUUUUGGCUCACUGUACAUUACUUCCAGGCUAACAACGCAUUAGCUUUAGCUUUUGAGCAUGA